rnacentral:rRNA from 1 species
GUUUAUGGCCAUACCACCCUGAACGUGCCUGAUCUUGGAAGCUAAGCAGGGUUGGGCCUGGUGAUGGGAGACCACCUGGGAAUACCAAGUGCUGUAGGCU